rnacentral:misc_RNA from 1 species
AUGGAUGCUCGCUCAAAGCAGCGAGGCAUGAUGGGAAAUCCAGAGACCUCACAGCUGUUGUUGAUUGUGUCAGAUGGGCGUGGCUUGUUUAGCGAGGGAAUGGAGACAGUGAAGUCGGCCGUCCGACAGGCGAGGGAGGCCAACGUGUUUCUGGUGUUUGUUGUCAUAGAUAAUCCGCAGAAUAAGGACUCCAUAUUGGAUAUCAAGGUCCCAGUAUUUAAGAGUGGAAACCAGUUGCCAGAAAUCAAGCCUUACAUGGAUUAUUUCCCUUUUCCAUUCUACAUCAUCCUGCGAGACAUUAACUCUCUGCCUCACGUGUUAUGUGACGCUUUACGUCAGUGGUUUGAACUGGUGACAGCGGUGGAUAUGUGACCUUUGUGACUGAUUUAUGUGUUAUCUGUUAACUGUUAUGGGAUGCUUGAAUGCUGAAUCAGUGGUUCAAACUGGUGGUGUGUUACAUGUAUGUGGUAGUUUAAACUGGUGACAUUGAUGUGUUAACAUUGUGACAUACUACAUUACAGUGUUACAUUACUAUGUCAUGCUAUGUGGGGUGUUUGAGCCGGAUUCAGUUGUUAGUAGAGCUGUGAAAUCCUAUUUCAUGAUUCAUGGCACUGGUUUGAGAAGUUGAUGGAAGUGAAUUCAUGAUUUUCCAUGCAUUUUUUAUGAUUUCUUCAAACAUUUAACCUCAUUUUGAAAUAUUUGGAUGAAAUUUUGCAGUCAUCUUGAUAGAUGUGUGUUUUGUUGAUAACAUAAAUUGAAAAUUCAGAAGAAGUUUCUGUAUGUAACCAUGGAUACAGAGAAGUGUACACAGAAAACGGAGACUAUUUAUGCUGCAUUGAACUUUUUAACCUCUGUGCAUCCUGAGACUGUAUAGGAUUUUGACCCACAGCACAUACUGUGAUACAUAAUUAAAAAUGAUUAACUGAUUGUUACUUAGUUCACUUCAAGGAAAGGAUUGGUAAUAGUUUAUGACAAUAUUGAUUGUUUAAGCUUGUCAUUGCUUUUAAAUGAUGCUGACAGAAAGAUAUAUGUUACAUUGAGGCUCUUUACAUGUACCAAUAAAAUUAUAUAAAUAUC